UACGGGGGGGGCAAGCGUUGUUCGGAAUUACUGGGCGUAAAGGGCUGGUAGGCGGCCAACUAAGUCGGAUGUGAAAUCCCCAGGCUUAACCUGGGAACUGCGUUUGAAACUACAAGGCUAGAGUGUGACAGAGGGGGGUGGAAUUCCACGUGUAGCAGUGAAAUGCGUAGAGAUGUGGAGGAAUACCAUGGCGAAGGCAGCCCCCUGGGAUAAGUAUUGACGCUCAUGCACGAAAGCGUGGGGAGCAAACAGG
rnacentral:rRNA from 1 species